rnacentral:sRNA from 1 species
CGACCCUUAUUAAGCCGAGGGUCACCUAGCCAACUGACGUUGUUAGUGAACGACUUUGUUCACAUUUAAAUUCAGCCAAUUGCCCAAAUGCAAUUGGCUUUUUUUUG